UACGUAGGGUGCGAGCGUUAAUCGGAAUUACUGGGCGUAAAGCGUGCGCAGGCGGUGAGCUGUGUCCGAUGUGAAAGCCCCGGGCUUAACCUGGGAAUGGCAUUGGAAACUGGCUCGCUGGAGUGUGGCAGAGGGGGGUGGAAUUCCGCGUGUAGCAGUGAAAUGCGUAGAGAUCCGGAAGAACACCGGUGGCGAAGGCGGUCUGCUGGGGUCGAACUGACGCUGAGGCGCGACAGCGUGGGGAGCAAACAGG
rnacentral:rRNA from 1 species